rnacentral:tRNA from 1 species
AUUAAUUUGGCAGAUAAAGUGCUUUAAAUUUAGAAUUUAAUUAUGGAGAAAAAUUUUCAGUUAGUA